UACGUAGGGUCCGAGCGUUGUCCGGAAUUAUUGGGCGUAAAGAGCUCGUAGGCGGUUUGUCGCGUCUGCUGUGAAAACUCGGGGCUUAACCCUGGGCCUGCAGUGGGUACGGGCAGACUAGAGUGCGGUAGGGGAGACUGGAAUUCCUGGUGUAGCGGUGAAAUGCGCAGAUAUCAGGAGGAACACCGGUGGCGAAGGCGGGUCUCUGGGCCGUAACUGACGCUGAGGAGCGAAAGCGUGGGGAGCGAACAGG
rnacentral:rRNA from 1 species